rnacentral:rRNA from 1 species
UGGGGGAUAACGCCUCGGAAACGGACGCUAAUACCGCAUACAUCCUACGGGAGAAAGCAGGGGACCUUCGGGCCUUGCGCUAUCAGAUGAGCCUAGGUCGGAUUAGCUAGUUGGUGAGGUAAUGGCUCACCAAGGCGACGAUCCGUAACUGGUCUGAGAGGAUGAUCAGUCACACUGGAACUGAGACACGGUCCAGACUCCUACGGGAGGCAGCAGUGGGGAAUAUUGGACAAUGGGCGAAAGCCUGAUCCAGCCAUGCCGCGUGUGUGAAGAAGGUCUUCGGAUUGUAAAGCACUUUAAGUUGGGAGGAAGGGCAGUUACCUAAUACGUGAUUGUUUUGACGUUACCGACAGAAUAAGCACCGGCUAACUCUGUGCCAGCAGCCGCGGUAAUACAGAGGGUGCAAGCGUUAAUCGGAAUUACUGGGCGUAAAGCGCGCGUAGGUGGUUCGUUAAGUUGGAUGUGAAAUCCCCGGGCUCAACCUGGGAACUGCAUUCAAAACUGUCGAGCUAGAGUAUGGUAGAGGGUGGUGGAAUUUCCUGUGUAGCGGUGAAAUGCGUA